UAGGGGAUGCAGUAAGGCUGAGGGUUGUUAGGGGAUGCAGUAAGGCUGAGGGUUGUUAGGGGAUGCAGUAAGGCUGAGGGUUUUGAGGGAUGCAGGAAGGCUGAGGGUUGUUAGGGGAUGCAGUAAGGCUGAGGGGUUUUGAGGGAUGCAGGAAGGCUGAGGGUUGUUAGGGGAUACAGUAAGACUGAGGGAUUUUAGGGGAUGCAGUAAGGCUGAGGGAUGUUAUGGGAUGCAGGAAGGCUGAGGGUUGUCAGGAGAUGCAGGAAGGCUGAGGGUUGUGGGGAAUGCAGGAAGGCUGAGGGUUGUUAGGGGAUGCAGAAAGGCUGAGGGAUGUUAGGGGAUGCAGAAAGGCUGAGGGAUGUUAGGGGAUGCAGGAAG
ensembl:lncRNA